CGCCGGCAACCGUAGGUAUGGGUUCGAUGUCGCUUCGCAUUAGCUUCCCCGGUUUCGUCCUCGUCUCGCCUUUGGUUGGUGGUGCCUCCGAUCGAUGGAAGAGGGCUUUGGGUGAUACUUUUACCAACAAUUUACGAUCUAUAACCAUGAGGCCACUGUCACUGUCUGGUCUUCAAAUGCGCGCAGCGUAAACAGCGGAAUGAGUGCCCGCUCGAUCCAAUUAAUGUAUCAUCAAUCGCAAUUAGGGAAAGUGGUUGAUAUAGUGGGCACUUUUGGGGCUCGCUCAUUGCGCGGUCAUAGCGGUUAGAAAGUGAGCUCUAGUUGACGGUUUGAAUGAUUUCAUAUACGUCCGUACAGAGCCAAUGUUGCAAUUGAAGUUAAUUAAUGCUUAUACAGCAACAACGAUCUUCGUUCUAUUUGGUAAUAUUAAGCCUGUUUUCUCUUUUCAUCUCACUUACAGGUAAGAGAACGUGGCGCAAUUGUUUGUGGAAUCUAAUUACGACGAGCUCUGACGUAUUGAUGGGUGAGGAGCUACAACGAGCUCGAAGGUGUAUCGACUGCGAUCGUGGUGGUGUUAAGCAACUAGAGGACUAGAGCCGACUCUCAUUGGUGCCCAUCAAUCCGGACGUUCUGUUUAUUUAAGAAGCAGUUUCCACGACCGAAAUUGCCUCAUCUUCACCACAGGAUACUUUCCGUUUUGUGCGCGCCACACUCAUACAAAAUCAACGUUGCAUCAUAAAGACGGCACAACGACGGCGCCUCUGGUACGAUCCAUCAACGGAUCAUUGAAACAGUGAAUAUUGGAAAUGAUCGCUAAUGGAGGAGCUGUGGAUUUAAAUCCUUGCCUCCCCGCCUAGAGGUGUGUGCGAUGCUGGGGUUAUGCAAUCGACCGUGUGCUGCAUUCGAGGAUCAAUUUACGAGAAGAUUAUGAACGACACCGAGCGUAGAAGGAAGCGUUUUUUUAUUGGAAGGAAACGAUUGAAUUGAAAUGCACAGGCCAGCGCUCGGAUGUAACCGUUACGGAAAUGGACAACAGCAAAAUUGAUGAUGCACUGAUGGACCACCCCAGCGCGCGUGUGUGUGUGUGUGUGUUGGGCUUUUCUUUCUGUUUGUUGCUUCCGCUCGGAGUUGAGGCAGAAGCGCUCGGCUUAAACCUGUGAACUCGACACCGCGCUCUCUUUGCGCAGUUGCUUGCGGUUACAAGAUGGCCCCAAUUUUAACGACAGCCACCCGCCCGAUUGCAGCAGUACGCGGGGCAACAUCACCAUUGCCCAACCCCGUUGAUGACUUUUCGGGUGGGUUGGUCGGUUGUUUUGUCGUGGAAAAUUGCCGCCAUCCUUUGGCUGCAAACCGGGCGUGUGCAACCGGGCGUAACGAUUUGGCCCUCUUUCGCGCGGGACCAAAGUGACCGGCGACUCCCUCACCUCAGCAGCGCAUCCGCAGCGACUGUCUACUCAGUUACCCACUAGGAGUGUUUUGGGGGGCGGUAGUUAUUUUCCUUUAAUUUUCACAAAUUUCGACAACCGGCAAACGGUUGUUGCUGCGCUGGCUUUCUUUGCGGGGUCGAACAGGCGGUGAUGCAAUUUUAAUGGAGACCUUUCUCCCGCGAGGUGUGAAUAUUUGGGUGUCCAACUCCCUGUCGUUUGCUACGCUUUGUUCCGCUUGGUGUUGGUGCAUUUAUUUUGUCCACAGCAACACAGCCCCCAUCAGGGGGGAGUGCAUAUGUUUAUUUAUUUUCUUUCCUUUCCUGCCCCCAACCUGGUUUGCUGCGGACGAACGGUUGAUUAUGAUGCUUCAUUAUGCUCCAUUUACUCCAUUCUUCGGCUCGGUGGCACGAGUAGGAAACAUGAAGGUUGGAGGUUGUAAACUUUCGCCUUCAGAUGGGGUUGAGCAAAAAGAAGGGUUGUGUGGAAACACGUUUUGGAACACAAAAAACCCCUCUGAAGCCACAAACAAAGCGCCACAGUUCAUAAAGCGAUUCAUUACGUUUAAGUGAUGGAAUCAUUACGCGAAGUCUUGCGCGGGUUUUCUCUAAUGUUAGUUUCAUUUGUUCGUGCGAUGUGAUUAUGGAGUUUUGGCUGGAGUGUUUGAUUGUGAAUAAGAAGCACGAACUAAAGCGUCGCUCGAGAGGUGUGGCUUUUAAUUAGAGCAUCCAUCCAUUUCACAACUGGUCAUGGUGCACAAACUGCGAACAAUAUUGCACCAACCAAUGGCGAUGAUGGCGGUGUGUAGGUGGAGGAAACCAUCACCAGCCAAUGCUGCACCACUCGAACAGUUGUGUGGGAAAUGGAGCCGGCUUUAAUGAAGUUUUGAAGUUUGAAGGAAAACUGUGAAAAGUACAUUGCUAAACAUCACAACAACACGUUCUCUGUUGACGCCAAACUCCCCCCGCACAAACAACCACAACAACAUCAAUCUACGCAAUCCAUAAUUUCAUUCUGACCUCGUGCCGCACACCCGCAUAACCCCCGGCCGCAAGACGCAGAGCACCAGUAGAGUGUUUGUGUUCGUGUGUAGUUUUCGGUGAAUCUUGUACCCGCAGAUCGGGCCGGCCUUAAGUGAGUGGUCUUAUUAUCCACUUAAAAGUAGCCGCCGAUACAGCCGCCGGGCGAACCAUUUUGCAAUACACACCAAUACCAGCAUCGGCCACCAUAUUUCCGCGAGAUCCCUUUUUUCAUACUGUGUGGAGCAUUAUUUUGCGUUCCAAGUGUGUGUGUGUGUGUUUGCUGAUGUUUUCGUGUGUGGAGAAGGUUUAUGCUGCUGGUUCGGGCUGACUGAUUUUGGACUGCUGCGAACGUUUCGUUGCAACGUUGCCGUACUUCUGGAUGCAUCUGAUUGGCUGACUUUAUUGAGUGUGGAAAGGAGAAUAAUCCAAUAAGAAAUAUAGGCAGAUUUUAAAGCAAUAUAAUACAAUUAGAUUUUAGAGAACACCAGAAGCAUCAGAGCGAAUGGCAAAAGGGAAUUGCUUUUUCUAAAAUAAACGACACAAAAAGAUCAGAAGGUAUGAGAGUAAGAUCGCGCCUGGUAGCUUAGCUGCACAUCGUGCAGAUCGGGGGGAGAGGGUUAAUAUGCUUUAUGCACUAUCUCGCAUCACGCCUCUUGACACUGUGCGCACAGAUCUCGGGUCGCGACGCGGCCGGCUGCCCCGGGACGGACGAGGGAACCACGUUAUUUAUAAAUAUUCAUGUUUGUGUUUACUGUCUGCGAUGCCGGUUUCUUGUGGCAGAUAUGUUAGACGCUUCCCGCUUUUCCCUCACGCAAAGCCGCAUAUGGUCAGCCAUUGAAGCAUAGAGUUCGGGCGUGUGCGUGUGUUUGGUUGUAUGGUUUAUGCGCUGAACGUUCAUCUGGAGAUAAAGAACGCAUCCGCGCACAGGCACACACAUGAUCGAGUGCGAGCUACUGGAUGAUAGGAGCAGAAAGCCUUCUGGCAUGCGUGUCUGUGUCUGCUGUUGCGUGUGGAAAACAUUCUUUGCCACUCGGCGGCGGUUAACAUUGGCGUUGUUCCAAUCCGCUGGCUUAAGCUACACGACAGUACGCGCACGAGAUCGUGGGGAGCAGAGAUGCCGUGUGCCGGUCGUAAUGCGCGGUAAUGAUGGUGCAUUUUUAUGCUAGAUAUGAUUCUUGUUUGUCCUGGAUUACUUAAUGGGUGGACUGGUAGAGUAGCAUGAGGCUCUACCACAAUAGCUCCACAACCAUGUCAAACGGGGCAAGCACUAACACUAACGAGACGGUUCUUGCGGUGCGUUUGUUGCAGCUAUAAAUGAAUGUUUAAUUUAAUUAGCUGCACAAGACGGACGCAGCACAACGCGGAUACGCACAUGCGGCGGGAGUACGCGUCAAACGCCAAUCCACCGAAUCCUCCCGCUUCCAAAACGGUGGCGACGGCGGCGGCGGGUCCAUUUCGCGGAUUGUUUCAAGCUAUGAAGUCGCCCCGCGAAGUUGGUGCUAUUAUUAGGCCGCGGCGCAAAUGACGGGGUCCACGUACAGCGAGCGAGCAGUCGACGUUUAAAGCCCUCUUAAAUCGAGCCAAGCAGCAGAACGACGGAGUGUGUUUGAUGUUGUGCACUGGUUGUUCCCUUUUCCUCGUGAAGCGGGGCAACUUUUUCGGGAAGAUUCAUGGAGAAGCAUGGGAGCCAUAAUUGAUAUGAGUUAUGAUAGUUUCGAGUGCAGUUCCGAAGGUAAUUGGUUUGAACUUUUCGGAAGCCAUUGGACCCGGGAAGUCCCUCCUUACGUUAUUGCGGUGGCCUUUUGAGAGAUUUCUCACCGCCCAAGUUGUUGGGGGAGAAGUACAGUUUACAGCCUCUUGUGUGUGUGGGUUUUUUUUUGGUGGAGAAUAGCAUAACAACGUCCUCCUCUUAUUCAGCUGCACUCCGAAUCUUAAGUGCUUUCGAAUACUGACUCCCCCGAAUACGGCGUUUUGGCUUGGCGAAGGUGUGUGUGUGUGAUGAUUUAUCGUUUGAAUGGGAGCGAACCGUUUUGAUAAUGUGAAUAUGCGGUAGUAGCAGUAGAGUAGAGGGUUUUAUUUCCUAAUCUACUGUUGGAGCUCGUAAAACGAAAGGCAUAAAAAUGGCGCAGAAGAAACGCACGCGGGAGACACGCGCAGUUGUAGAGCUAAUCGGUUGAGAUUUGAAAUGACUCCGUGAGAGCUGCAGGCUUUAUUUGUUGGAACUCUCUUGUUUAGGUGUGAUUUGUGGUCAUUUUUUUGUUGGGGGAAUGGGUUUUGUACGGAAGAAGAUACGGCCAAGAAUUAAUUACCAUUUUAAAGGCUAAUUUGGAAUAAACGGUAGUUUUUGUGUCACAAAUUAUGAGGUGUUGAGAGAAACAGAGGCUGGAUUAAGAUUUUGAGAUGAGAUUGUGUACGAACUCCACACGAUUCAUAUCGCUGGUGGUUAGCGAACAUUUUUGGGAAAACACUUCCAAUUAGUGUUGAGCUGCACAACGAAAAUUGAAACCACUAACCAAUGAUAAAUCAACCAAACCGUGAAGGGGUUAAAAGGCUUCGCUCAUUAUCCUCCUCGUCGUCCGGAAACUCCAAUUAGUUCGAUUGCUCACACAACCACCAUUCGAUACAUCAAUAAAAUAAUGUUUUAUUGCCAGUGAAAGUCACACUUGCAUUUUUAAUAACCCCCCUUUGAGGAGGGGAAAGGUCUAGCUUGUGCUUGCUCGUGUGUGUUGUUCACAUUUACAAUAAUUCGGCAAUGGGUUUUACGUACGCCCAAAAUAAUAAUAAAAACACAACUCCUAUAUGGCUGCAAUCCACACGUGCCCCUCUCUUUUAACGACGGGAAGCCGACGUUGGGGGAAGUUAAAACAGUAACUACACGGUAGAGCUAAACCACGGGAAAGUAAAGAAAAUGAGACAGGGCAGAAAAAUUAAGCUGCUCAAAUCCUUCCUUCAGCUUCCUUUCACGCUCUGUUUUCUUGUUAGUUAUUGUGUGUGUGCUUGUGUUGACUUCGUAUGUACACCCGCGGUGUGUGGUUUAUUGGUAUCAGUUUCACUUUUGUCCACGUGUUGCUGGAGGAUGUAAGGUGGGAAAAGCACAGGCUGGUGGAGACAUGUUGUUUUUAUAAUGUUCGAUUACUUAUGUGAACAUAUGGGCUCUGGUGUACGAAAGCGCCCCUCAGUCAGUCUCACUGUUACACGAUACGAUCUCACAUCGGGUUGUGGGUCUAUAGAGUAGUGUAGUAGAGGCACUUGCUAUAAUCAACAGACCAUAAAUUAAUGCUGCCCGCUCGUGGCCCGAAAAAGGUUAAUAGAUGCUCGCACAUUAGGAAGCGAUUUGGCUCCGGACUUCUCUGAUGGACCACUGACCUUCAUCAUUGCUGCCCCGUCAAUCAACCCUGCCUAAAGGGAGUGCAAAACAAACCCCAAAGCUGAUUGGUACGUUCGAUAGGAGGGUGAGUUUGAGUGUGUGUUGGAUCUGUGCAAAGUGCCUCGCGCCGCGGUACGGUUAACGAUUCGCCUUGAGUCACUAUUUUCGGAAGCCUUCUUUUCGAUUCCACCGGGUUGAAGGACGCUUGAAGAGAGGCCCGACAACGGUGGAAGGGAGCGAGUUGUUGCUAAAAUGCUUCUUGUGUUGUUUUUAUUGGAGAGAUGUCUUCCUAACGAAAGCCCAGGGUAUCUUGCUGCUGCAGCUGGUACCCGUUUUCAUUCGCAACUGCCUGAUUCGCAUGCAGAUCUGGUCCGUUUCUGUGUGUGUACGGGACACGUUGUUUACGGAAAACGGGGGCUAGUUGUGAAAAGGUAUCGAUUUACGGGGCCGAGUUCUCGCCCGGGCUGCUGUACGUGACACAGGCGGGCUCUCAAGUAGGUCAGACGUCUUCCACGCGCUCCUCUCUCGCGUGCUCACUCGCUCUGUUGGGCAGCUGGACCUACCCUAACCUUAAUGUCCGGGAGAUGUCCGGCAACGACGGCGCAGCGUGCGGUGUACUUUCUUCUUCGCCUCGCCGCUGCUACAUUUGCUACAGAAA